CAGUACUGUGCACAGGGUGAAACUGCCUAUGUUUACGGGAAGAUAAAGUAUCUCACUCUACCGGCUGUAGUCGAACUGUACCUGAGCUGCAGGAUUAAGGGGCAGCUGAAGCCAUGUGUCCAUGUUGCCUCUUGUAGACAGUGUAGUGAUGUUUUGAGGCACUAGCAGAAAGAGGAGAGAAGAUUAUCACCAUCAGCCUGAUUCUCAGGAAUCAGCUGCUGGGCAGGGGAAGUCCCGUCCUACCUGUGAAGCAUCAUGUGUCUGCCAAUGGGAUUGUCUCUGUUUCUUCAGAUGCAAAGAAGCACCGCGGGAGACGUUCUGUUCCUUCAGAAUAACUGGACCCACUGGCAAGAAGCAGCUACACUGAGCACCAAACGAGGAAACCGUUUCCAAGUUAUCAAAACAUGCUGUUGAACUAAAUUUUGCA
rnacentral:lncRNA from 1 species